rnacentral:rRNA from 1 species
AGAGUUUGAUCCUGGCUCAGGACGAACGCUGGCGGCGUGCCUAACACAUGCAAGUCGAACGGAGAAUUUUAUUUCGGUAGAAUUCUUAGUGGCGAACGGGUGAGUAACGCGUAGGCAACCUGCCCUUUAGACGGGGACAACAUUCCGAAAGGAGUGCUAAUACCGGAUGUGAUCAUCGUGCCGCAUGGCAGGAUGAAGAAAGAUGGCCUCUACAAGUAAGCUAUCGCUAAAGGAUGGGCCUGCGUCUGAUUAGCUAGUUGGUAGUGUAACGGACUACCAAGGCGAUGAUCAGUAGCCGGUCUGAGAGGAUGAACGGCCACAUUGGGACUGAGACACGGCCCAAACUCCUACGGGAGGCAGCAGUGGGGAAUCUUCCGCAAUGGACGAAAGUCUGACGGAGCAACGCCGCGUGAGUGAUGAAGGAUUUCGGUCUGUAAAGCUCUGUUGUUUAUGACGAACGUGCAGUGUGUGAACAAUGCAUUGCAAUGACGGUAGUAAACGAGGAAGCCACGGCUAACUACGUGCCAGCAGCCGCGGUAAUACGUAGGUGGCGAGCGUUGUCCGGAAUUAUUGGGCGUAAAGAGCAUGUAGGCGGCUUAAUAAGUCGAGCGUGAAAAUGCGGGGCUCAACCCCGUAUGGCGCUGGAAACUGUUAGGCUUGAGUGCAGGAGAGGAAAGGGGAAUUCCCAGUGUAGCGGUGAAAUGCGUAGAUAUUGGGAGGAACACCAGUGGCGAAGGCGGCUUACUGGACGAUGACUGACGUUGAGGCUCGAAAGCGUGGGGAGCAAACAGGAUUAGAUACCCUGGUAGUCCACGCCGUAAACG